UAUACUCUCUCCAUCUUAAAAAGAUUGUCUUCUUUUCUAUUUUAAUCUGUCCUAAAAAAAUUGAGAUAUUUCCAUAUUGAAAAUAAUUAACUUUAUAAGAUACAAAUAUUUAAUGCUUGUUUUAGAUCAUACAUUUCAAAAAAAAAUCUUUUAUUUCUUAAACUCUGUGCCAAAUUAAAUUAACACAAUCUUUUUGGAACGGAGAGAGUAAUAUAUAUCAGGGAAAAGGAUCCAAUAUACCCUCUACUUUAAUUUAUUGGUUAAAUUUAACCUCCGUUAAUCAAAAUAGUCAAAUAUCCCCUCUGUUAACCAAAAUAUACAUAUAUCCCUUGAAUUGAUGGAAAUCUACAUCAGCCAAAAUUACUCAAUUUCAAUUAAAAUUAUCUGACCUGUCUCCUAUAACCCAACCCGCGACCCCAUCUCUUCUCCCUCACUAUUGCUUGCUCCAUAGACAUCAUUGCCGGCGAGCUCGUGAUACCGAAGCUCCGGCGAGCUCCGGCCACUAUCACAUCAUUUGCUCCAUAGCCAUCAUUUGUUCUUUCACAUGGAAUGGCAGAUCCUGUUAGUUAUGGUGAUGGCCACCGUGAUAUUGACCAGAUACUAUUGGUGACGACGAAGCUAGUAGCUCACGAGUUUGCUAGAGUUGAUCUAUUGGUUGAGGUGAGCCGCCGCUUUGUUCGUGGAGGCUACCAAAAGUGUCUUUAUCAUUUAUUUAUUAAUGUUUUUUUUUCUUUUGGGAUUUAAAAACCCAAGCCUUUUGUAAUUCUCUUAGAUGGUCCAUGGUCUAGUGUGGGAUUUGGGCAAGAGUAUUUGGUUAAUUUUUUGAGACACUAAUUAUCCAUAAUUAAUUAUUAUAUUAUUUGAGUGCUUAUUUAAUUUGGUUAAUGCUGCAAAA